CCCAGCCUCAAUCAGUACCCAUCAGUGUAAGAUGACACCAAAGUUGAAAUUGAUUGGCCAGUUCUACCUGAUUCCCUGGUUGUACAGGAAAUCCACUAAGCAUUUUGGCUUCUGACAUAGGCUGAAUUUCAUGAAGUUCACAGCACUGGACACAGAUGAUUCUAGUUUAACUAUCCAAGGCCAAGUUGGGAGGGAGAAUUCAAGAAGAUGCUCUUUCAAAAGCUGCCUCAUGGAGCCAUAUUGUUCAUGCUUUUCCAGGAAAUCUCCAACAACUACUCAUCAUUAGCAUACCCAGUGAGUAUGAGAUUGUGCCCUUUCUGAAUGCACCAGGAGAGAACUUGAAGCUCAUCCUUGGAUGACCACACCGGGCUUCCAUGCCACACGCUCCUUGGGAAUGUCUCCAAAGGCUCAUGUGCAGCCCCAGCCCCAUUCAAUCAAUAAACUAGCCAUCCACGGGA